rnacentral:tRNA from 2 species
AAUAAAAUGGCUGAGGUUAUAAGCAAUAAAUUGUAAAUUUAUUUACGAGAAUUUCUCUUUUAUUA